CUUUACCUCAUUACUUUCUUUGUUGCAGUCACAAAUAAGUUGGUUUCCAAACUAAGUUCCAACCAUGCAUGUUUCUAUCUGAUACACUAUGUUUUGAUUAUUUUCUUUACCUCCUUCCAUUAAUUGAUAUUGUACAUUUUUGUUCAGUUCGAGAGUUAGAUAGAGUUUGAUACAAAUCCCCUGUAUGCACUUAUGCAUGAAUCCAUUUACUGCCAGGGUGCUUUGUCAUAAUGGUCAGCUCAUAAGAUCAGGGGCGAAUUUGAGAGCUUUUUUGAUCCGAUCAAAGCUACAAAAGAUGGUCGUCCUGUAUAUUUUACUGGCGAGAUGGUAUUUCUGUGGAUGUUUGAGGAAAUCCAUGCUCUGAGACACUUCAAGGAAGCGGCUUAUCUACUGGCUGAGAAGAACGACUGGCCUCCACUGUAUGACGUGAACCGGCUAAAUAAUAA